rnacentral:rRNA from 1 species
UACGUAGGGCGCAAGCGUUGUCCGGAAUUAUUGGGCGUAAAGAGCUCGUAGGCGGCCAGUUGCGUCCGCUGUGAAAUCCCGGGGCUUAACCCCGGGCGUGCAGUGGAUACGGGCUGGCUAGAGGCAGGCAGGGGAGAACGGAAUUCCCGGUGUAGCGGUGAAAUGCGCAGAUAUCAGGAGGAACACCGAUGGCGAAGGCAGGUCUCUGGGCUGUAACUGACGCUGAGGAGCGAAAGCAUGGGGGAGCGAACAGG